rnacentral:rRNA from 1 species
GAUGAACGCUGGCGGCGUGCCUAAUACAUGCAAGUCGAGCGAACAGACGAGGAGCUUGCUCCUCUGACGUUAGCGGCGGACGGGUGAGUAACACGUGGAUAACCUACCUAUAAGACUGGGAUAACUUCGGGAAACCGGAGCUAAUACCGGAUAAUAUAUUGAACCGCAUGGUUCAAUAGUUAAAUACGGUUUUGCGUUCGCUUAUAGAUGGAUCCGCGCCGCAUUCGUUAGUUGGUAAGGUAACGGCUUACCAAGGCAACGAUGCGUAGCCGACAUGAACGGGUGAUCGGCCACACUGGAACUGAGACACGGUCGAGACUCCUACGGGAGGAAGCAGUCGGGACUCUUCCGCAAUGGGCGAAAGCCUGACGGAGCAAAGCCGCGUGAGUGAUGAACGUCUUAGGAUCGUAAAACUCUGUUAUUAGGGAAGAACAAAUGUGUAAGUACCUAUGCACGUCUUGACGGUACCUAAUCAGAAAGCCACGGCUAACUACGUG